rnacentral:SRP_RNA from 1 species
AAUCAGGAGACAUGCGUGUAAGCGCCGCUCAACCCCGCCAGGUUCGGAAGGAAGCAACGGUCGGCGGAGGCUUAUAGCGCCGUGUUCAUCUUGUUUACA